ACGCUGGAAAAUUUAAUUGGCAGUCGUAUUAUCUGACGUUAUUUUCCCCAGCUUUGUUCACUUACAAAGAUUCUAAGCGAUUACGUCCAUGGAGAUGUUUUUAGAGUGCGUUUCCACUGACGCGAAGUUGCGCGGAGUGGAGCGGAGUAUACCGUGAAUUGACUAAUCACAGUGCUCGAAAUCUCCAUACCGCAUCAUCUAGAAGCAGUGUAAAUGGGGCAAAGCAGAAUUGAUCGAACUUUCAAAGAACAUAUAUAUGAAUAUUGAAUACGCUUCCCCAACGGAGUCGAGGAGCUAAGCGGAACGCACGAAGCGGAGUAAAGCGGGAUAAUGCGGAGCAUUCCGUAGGGUAUAUUGGUCAGUAAAAGAUUCGUUUGCAGGGUUAGUUUAGUUAGCGACGUCACAAUGGAUGAGAGAUUAAAUGAAUAAAUAAAUUGAAGCGAAAA